rnacentral:rRNA from 1 species
UACGGGGGGGCAAGCGUUGUUCGGAAUUACUGGCGUAAAGGGCUCGUAGGCGGCCAACUAAGUCAGACGUGAAAUCCCUCGGCUUAACCGGGGAAGUGCAUCCGAAACUGACGGGCUAGAGUACGAAAGAGGGUCGCGGAAUUCCCGGUGUAGAGGUGAAAUUCGUAGAUAUCGGGAGGAACACCGGUGGCGAAGGCGGCGACCUGGGUCGAUACUGACCGCUGAGGUGCGAAAGCGUGGGGAGCAAACAGG